GCGUGUGAAGAUAGAAUUCAUUGGUCUGUCAAUCCACUGACGAAUUUCGAUUGAUGUUAAACAAUGAAUCCCGACAGGUUCUGAUCGC